CACUCUCUCUCUGCAUCUGGCACAAUUUCCAAACUCAAAACCUGUUCAGAGAAACUCCCUGUAUCAGACUGUCUUGCAAUAACCAUCAGAAUGCACUAGCACAGGUAAAAGACCUCUUAAAUCCAGCAGGUACAAUUGCUGCUAUUUUACCCGGUGCCAAACAUUUCAUUUUCAGAUGGGGCAGGGACAGAAAAUCUGUUUAACUCCAGGUCUGAACACACGCGGAUGUUUUGUAGUAGCUCAGAACUAGUUUCUCUGUUUGGGAGAUGGGCGGCUGGGGGGAACUUGCUAUCUUAGCGGAGCACAGCUCGGAGGGCCCAUCCGUUAGGCAGGGGGGAGUGGUGAGCCAUCGAGGUAAGUGUCCCACUCGUCCCGUUCCGCUCCAGGUGCAGCUUGCUUUGUGCUGUCACACACUGGACUGGGUGGGGAGCGUUUCUCUGUAGUGGAACCAGUGACAGAAGCUGUUCUUUAGAAUUUUCAGGAUGGCUGUAUUCUGCGAUCAGAAUGAGACAGUCACGCUGGGCAGAAUCCAACGCCAAGAGCAAAGAACUCUUACUUGCAACACCCGAUGCAGCCAAGAGGACUUCAACAGACUAUGAAAGGCUUCCCAUUUCAUUUCUUUGGUCUCAGAUUUUUCUUUUGUGUUUUGUUGCGUUGUGGGCAAAGGUAAUUCUCAGCUCUGUAUUAAAGAACCAUAAGCACAAACAUCUUUAAGCAUCGCUGUUGAAAGGCUCUUUUUAUGAAACCGCCGUUCAUUAGCUGUGAAGCCUUACUGUAGUGUACCUUUAAAUCAGAUUUCAGAAUCCAUGCAGCCUCUGGCCUGACUUGCACUGCAACCUUCACUGCCUCUUGGGACUUCAUGAACAUAUAUUGGUUCUGUUCUUGUAUCUUUAAUUUUGUGUGCGUAGUUACAACCUAGUUUUGUCUCAGGGACUGGACUGUCUGUUAGAUAUUAACUUUAUACAAUUCUCUUGUAUGUGCAGAUUGUAUGUUUUUAUACAAUGCGCUACCUGUUGUACAGUGUUUGUGAGAUGUUACCCAUUUUAACAUGGCACUUUAUUGUUUUCAAUAAAAGCCUGUUGUUCCUCAGUUGAUAGUACUUGA